rnacentral:lncRNA from 1 species
CUUGGUGCAGCUUGUCAGUUACAAUAAAGCAGUCACUGUAUUGUAGGUUCCAGAUCCAGCACGGACCCCAAUGUGGGGCUCAAACCCACGACCCUGAGAUUAAGACCUGAACUGAGAUCAAGAGUUGGAUGCUCCACUGACUGGGCUACCCAGGU